CAGGGGGAAGGGAUGUUGGUGUUGCUGAUAGGAAAGAAAAUGAAAGACUUUUAAAACAAAGUCAAGUCUAUCACUAAGCUAGACAAUUGAAAUGAAUUGAGGAAUAAAAGGAUAAAGGGUACAUAAAGUAAUAGUCAUGGAAAGUUGGGUCCUAGACUGAAAAGAGAAAAAACUGCAUGGAGCUUCAAGAAGAAACUAGCUUGAGACAAAGUUUGGGAUUUUGUUUAUAAGAUUUGCUUCUGGUUUUGCUUUUUGCUGAUAGAUAGUAUAUGCUUGUUGAUUUGCAGAAAAGAAGUAAGUAAAAAGUAGAAUUGGACAGAUUAAUGAUGUCAAGCAUUACAUUUGGAGAUUCAAAGAAGAUGUCCCUGAUCCUUUGGGUCAGCUGCCUAUUUCCAGCAACACAUGCUACCAAGAAUCCUCCAUGCUCACUCUGGACCUGAUUCACCUAGGCAAUUUGUUCUCUACUUCCUGUCCACCAAUACAAUCUCUCUGGUGCUCUUCCUAGCUCUGUACCCUAUUGCUUGCAGGGUCUUCUCCUGUAUCCCUACUCUAUUCCCUAGUGACUCAAUCAAACCUGUGUGGACUCAGCUUUCCUUAUCCCACUGUACUCUCUUAGCCCCACCCCCACCCUUCCAGUUUACCCCCAUCCUUUCCUCACCCCUCACUUCUACACUUUCUACCUGAGAUGUUUAGUGUUGGAAUUCAUCAGGGAUUCAGGUAGGUGAAUCACACUAUCUUUUCUAUCUUUCUUUAUGAUCUCUCCAUUCUCAUGCUUAGCCUAAUAACAACCUCCCAUUUCAACCACAUUCACUGGAGAUUCUAACUCUGGCUUCAGACCAAGGGUAUCUCCUGGUACUUUCUUCUCUGUCUCUCAUGAUAAUUCUUUGCCGUUUCAAGUAUUACCUGCAGAAUCCACUCUUUCCAACACACAUUCGGAUCUCUGGAGAUCCAGUAUCUAGGAGUGAACAGCAUCCUCUUAUGUCUUAGCUGAAGCUCUGCUCAACCUGUUCUACUAGCCCACUUCUAUUUCUCUCUGCUACUCACUGGCCUACAGAAGUAAUCCCUACCAGGCAACCCACAGGCAUUACACUUUCUUAAGAGAAAGCAACAGAAACAAGGAAACAAAAGACCCACCCAAUAAAUAGAAGAUCAGAUAUCAACACUUUAAAGUGCCUCAGUCAUCCCAAUCCCAGAGGCCUAGACUCCAGCACAAAACACAAACAUUACCAGCCAAGACAGUAUGGUUCUACCCAUAUUUAGUAAUCUUACUAGAGUAAGUGCUUAAAAAUGUAAUACAGCUGAAUCCCAAGGAAAGGACUUCAAAGAAGAUAUUAAUAAAUUCAUUAAUGAAGUCCAUGAAAACACAACUAAAGAGAGGGAUGAAAUAAUAAAAGUAACUUAAAACAUGACAGUAGAAUUUGUCAAAUAAAUAGAGUUACCAAAGAAACCACAAACUGAAAUAAAACUGGAAAAGAAAUAUUUAGGAAGUCAAACAAAUAUCUCAGAGACAAGCCUCAUCAACAGAGUAUAAGACAUGAAAGAGAGAAUUUCAGGAGUUGAAGACAAGUUAGUAGAAAGGAAUAUCUCAGUCAAAGAAAAUGUUCAUUUUAAAAAUUUGAAGCACAAAAGAUUGAGGAUAUCUAGAACAUUAUGAAAAGAUCGAUUCUACAAUGAAAAGAGAGGAAUAAGAAAGUCAGGUCAGAGUACAGAAAAUGUUUUUGAUAAAAAUCAUAGAAUAAAUUUGCCUAACCCACAAGACUCAGGAAGCAUAGAGACAUCCAAAUAGACUAGGCCAGAAAACAAAUUCUCUACAACAAAUGAUAAUCAAAGCACUCAGAACAAGGAAAGAAUAUUAAAAGCUAUAAGGGAAAAUAGCAAAUAAUAAUUACAAUAACAACUGACAUCUGAAUAAAGACUCUAAAAACCAGAAGGUUCUACAAAUUAUAAGAAACCACAAAAUCCAUGUCUGAUCACUAUACCCAGCAAAACUAUCAAUCACAAUAGACAGAAAGUAAAUCAUUCCAUGAUAAAGCCAAAUUCGAGCAGAAUAUAUCUACCAAUCCAGUUCUACAGAAAAGAACAGAAGGAAAAUGUAGUUUGAACAGAUUAACCACACUGCAGAAAGCAAAAGAAUAAAUAAACCCAAACCAUCUAAUGAAAAUGUAGGGCAAUCCACAAAACAACAACAAAAUAGCAGGAAUAAAUACAUACUGCUACUGACACCACCAAAUAUUAACAGUAUCAAAUUCCAAAUUAGAAAACUUGGCCCAUUCUUUUGCUGCAUCCAGGAAGCACACCUUAUUAUAAAGAAUAGAUGUUGCCAUAGGGUAAAAGGAAGGAAGAAGAAACUCCAAGUAAAAGAACCCAAGAGGCAAGAUGGUAUGCCAUUUUAAUGUAUGAAGAAAGACACUAUAAACAGAAAUUAAUCAAAAGAGAUAGAGAAAGAUACUAGAUACUCACCAAAGAAAAUAAACCCACCAAGAAUAUACUGUCAAUCUAAAUAAACAUUUAUAGACAAAACACGUGGACACCCAAGUUCAUAAAGGAAGCACUACUACAGCUGGAAUUACAUGUUUGUCCACACAGUUAUUGUGAGUGAUUCCAAUAGCCAAUUCUUGACAAUCAACAGAUCUUUCAGUUAAAAACUAAUCAGAAGAAUGUUGGAGUUAAAUAAUGUCACUAAUUAAAUGGUCCUAGCAGAUAUUUACAGAGCAUUUCACCCAAGCACAAAGGAAUAUAUCAUCUUCUCAGUAGUUCAUAGAACUUUCUCAAAAUUGACUACAUACUUGAUUGCAAAGCAAGUCUCAAAAGAUAUAAGAAAAUUUAAAUAUUGUCUCUUUACUGAUCACCUUAUAUUAAAUCUGAAUAACAGCAGAAUGCUUGCAAAUUCUUAAAAACUGGAAAACUCACUACAAAAUGAAAAAUAAGUAAAGACAUAAAUUAAUAAAUAAAUUUAAAACUUUUUAGAAUUGCGUGAAAAUAAAACACAGUGUACCCAAACGUCUGGGAAACAAAUUAGGAGUUGCUAAGAGACAAGUUCAUACCACUUAGUAAAUACAGAAAAAUGUUGGAGAGAUCUCAUACUAAGAACUUAAGGCCACUGCUGAAGACUUUAGAGGAAAAGAACUAACAACAUAAGUAAAUAUAUAGCAAGAAAUAACCAAGCUGGGAGAUGAAAUCAAUAAAGUAAAGGCCAAAAUAUCAAUACAAAAUCAAUGAAACUAACAAUUGAUUCGUUGAGAAAAUGAAUAAGAUAGAAAAAUCUUUAGCCCAAUUAACUAAAAGAUGGAGAAAUAAGAUCCAAAUUAAUAAAACUAUAAAUCAAAAGAGAAACAGAACAACAGAUAUCAAGGAAAUCAAGGGGGUAUAGUUUAAAAAUCUGUAUUCCACCACAUUGAAAAAUCUAAAAUAAAUAAUUAUAUAUAUAAUUUAACAUAUCAUAUAUAUGUAUAUAUGAUGUACUAAAGUUAAAUCUGGGUCAGAUAAGCUAUUUAACCUAUUGCCACCAUAUAAAGACUGAAAGACAAAUUAUACAAUCAUUUCACUAGAAGGAGAAAAGGCUUUAGACAAAAGCCAAUAUCCCUUCAGGAUAGUAGACUUAGAGUGACUGAGAGUUCAAGUAACAUACCCCCAUGUUAAUAAAAGUCAAUUUAUAACAAGCCCAUAGUCAACAUCAACCUAAAUGCAGAGAAACAUAAAGCAGUUUAACUAAAAUCAGGAAAAAGAAAAGGAUGCCUACUCUCUCUCUCUAUGUACUAUAUAAGUCAAUAUAAUACUUAAAACCUCAGCUAGAAAUAAAACACCUGAAGGUGAUCAGGGAGGUAGAUACAAAUAAGAAAGGAAAAAGCCAAAAUGUCUUUAUGUAGAGGCAGAUGAUAUGGUUUCACACAUAAAUGACUGGAAAUCCUACCAGGGAACUCCUACAAAUGAUAAACACUUUCAGCGAACUAGCAGUAGACAAAAUUUACUCACAAAAUCAGUAGCCUUCUUAUACAUAAAUGUCAAGUGGACUGAAAGAGAAAUCAGGAAAACGACACAGUACACUCAAAAAAUAUAGAAUAAGUUUGGAAGUUCUAGCCAAGCAAGUGAAAGUUUUAUAUGAUAAAUUUUUAAGACAUUGAAGAAAGAAGUGGAAGAAAUCAGAAGAUGGAAUGACUCCCCAUGCUCAUGAAUUGGUAGGAUUAAUAUAAUGACAAUAUUAUUCUUCCAAAAGCAAUCUACAGAUUGCAUACUAUACCCAUCAGAAUUCCAAUACAAUUCUUUAGAGAUCUUGGAAAAAACAAUUCUCAGCUUUGUAAGAAGACACAGACAUACAACGUACACACACACACACACACACACACACACACACACACACAAAGAAAGACAGAGACAGAAAGAGACAGAGAGAGAGAGAGAGAGAGAGAGAGAGAGAGAGAGCAAAAACAGGACAGCUAAAAUAAUACUGAAUAAUUUUUAAAAUGUCAACCCUAACCUCAAGUUGUAACAGAGAUAUUGUAAUAGAAAUAGCAUGAUAUUGGCAUAGAAGCAGACAUAUUGAUCAAUGGAUGGAACUGAGUUGAAGAACCAGAAAUACAUCCACACGCACACACCUAUAGACACCUGAUAUGUGAGAAAAUAACCCAGACAGUUGCUCAGAAAAUUGGGAAUGGUUCUAACUCAAGGACCAACUGUACCACUCCUAGGCAUAUACCCAAAAGAUGCUUCACCAACCAACUAGGACACUUGCUCAACUUUGGUCUUGGCAGCCUUAUUUGCAAUAGCCAGAGACUGGAUACAACCUAGAUUUCCCUUAACUGAAGAAUGCAUAAAGAAAAUGUGGUUGAUUUACACAAGAUAAUACUAUUCGGCUGUUUAAAACAAGAGCAUCAUGGAUUUUGUGGGUGAAUGGAUGGAAGUAGAACAUAGCCUGAGUAAGGUAUGUACUCACUUAUAUGGGUAUAUUAGCCAUAAAAUACAGGAUGAUUACAUUACAAGGAUGGUUGAAUCUUUCUGAGAAGGAGAAAUAGAAUAAAUAUUGGAAUGGCAGGGAGGAAACUGGGUGAGAGAGAGAAUGGUGAGGGAGUGGCUAGAAGUGGGUGAGGUACAGGGAGAGCAGGAGAGAGAACAGAAACUGGUUGGCAGAACAGAAGCAGAGCAUCUCUAAAACAAGAUUGGGGGUGGACUCUAGCUGAGACUCCUAGCAGUGAGGCAUAUGGAUUCUGAAGUGGCCACUUCCUGAAGCGAGGCAGGACUCCCAGUGGAGGGGAAAAGAAUAGCAACCCACUCAGAAGAUUUUCUACCUAAAAUAUGCCCUGCCUACAGGAAGGACAGGGAGAAAGAUAGAGCAGAGAGUGACAACCAAUGACUGGCCCAAAUGGAAAACAUCAAUGUGUAUCAAUAAAAUUACUCCAAAUGGUGCUGUGCUAUCAUCCAGAAAGAGACCUUGGGCCACACAGUGCUAAAUGCGAUGUCAUAAUCAAACUCUGCCCUCAGGUCUCUGGAACUAUGCAUAAGAGGAGGCAGAACUGUAAUAGCCAGAAGGUAUUGAUGACAUCAUGGAAACAGUGUCUUCCAGAUGCAACAGGAUUAACAUAUUUACGAACAGAAACUGUGGCAGUAUGCACAGGCCCUGCAAAGGUUAAACCAGAGGUGUGUCCUAUGCUAAAACAGGGAAAUGAACACAACUUCCCAGACCUACUGAAAAAGUUAUUAAUUAACAACUUCUUAGAAUAGAAAAAUUAGUUUUUCUAAAGGAUUCACACUAUAAAAACCAAACUUAUGACAAUACCCUAUGCCAAUCAAUGGAUGGCCAGCAUAGAGCAAACUCAAUGGUAUUUUGGAGAAUUUUGUCUCAUGUUGCUUUGUUUGGGCAUAUUUUUUAAAGCUUACAGUUUUUUGUUUGUAUUUUAUAGUUUCAGAUUUUGUAUUUUUAUGUGUGUGUGUGUGUGUGUGUGUGUGUAUUAUGUGCGUCUUGUGCAUGUGUGUAUGCAUUCAAUUUUUGUACUUGACAUUUGGGUUUUUUGUAUGUAUACUUGUCCAUUUUGUUUUGCUCUCUUUUUAAAGAUUUCCCUCUGUCUUCUUAAAAGAGUGAGAAAGAAGGCAUGGAGUUUGAAGGGUAAGGAGGUAAGAAGAAUUGGGAGGAGAUGAGGAAGAGGAAACCAUGAAUAGAAUAUAUUGUAUAAAAUUAUUUUCCACUAAAAACAAAGAGGAAUAAGAAACAAAAUAGAAAUUUUAAGAAAAGAAAACUACAUUAUUACUCAUAGAUAUAUUCUGGUAUGACUUGACUUUUUGUUUUAUGUUAGAAGCUCUACAAAGAGUUUAUUAAAGACCAUUAAGCCUGGAGAAGAUAUAGCUUGGAGAAGUUGAACAAAAAGUUUGUUCAAUGACUUUAUGUCUGGGAUACUUGCUUUUAUUCAGUUUUGCUGAGCACAUGUACCCAAGUUUGGACAUGAGUGAGUGAAAAUAUUACAAAGGCCAAAUCUGCCCAGCAUUCCCAUUUAAGAAGAGAAACAAACUCUGCUUGGAAACAGUGACUAAGUUCUUAAAAUACUCAUUUCUGACUUUUUUGUCUAUGUGAAUUACAUAUGAAAAUGUUUCAGCAUGUUAAAGGGAAACUAUAAUGUAAAUUUGUAGGAACAUGAAUAAUAAUUUGGAAACACAUUUUUUAAUCUUAGAACAUUAGGUAAUUUUAUGAUGAGAUAAAUUUUAAUAUUAACAGUAGCCUAUGCAAAUCCACUCUGUCCAAAACAAUGACUUUUUUCCCCCAGUUUUCAGUUUUAACAUUAUUGUACAUAUCCUUUUCUGUAAUACUUGUCUUCUAUAAGGAAUGAAUUGACAUCACAGCAUAUUAAAGAGCAGGCAGGUUUUCUAGCACUUGGGCUACUUCUCUACACAUUCUUCUCAUCUCCUUCUCUUAAUGUAUUAUUUUCUCAUUCCUAAGAAAAGGUGGCUGACAGAAGCCAAGUAAGAGAGAAGAGAUUUAUUUUAGUGUGCAAUUUCAGAGGGCCCCGGCUCUUCAGAGUGGGGAGGGCUUAAUAAGGUGGCUCAGUACAUAGUGUCAACACAAGUUCACAAGGAAGUAAAUCAGAAAACAAAAAGUUACUGAAAAUAGCUGCCCGCCCACCUGCCUGCUUCCCUGAGGGUUGUUUGUAGAUUACAUAGCCUUCCUAAAUAUAAAGAAGUGUUGAGAAUAUAGCCUGUGGGAGGCAUUCAAAAUUCUGUCCACAAUAUCCACUCUAAUAUUCAGUCAAGUGCACUUGCCAAUUGAUUUAAAUACUUGUUCCCACAUCUACCUCUAGUAGUCAUGUCAAGCUUUGCAUGAACUAUGGAACAAUCACUGAGUAAAUUUAUGCUCAGUGAAUGGACUUUAGAAAUGAGAUGAAAUGUAUUUUCUACCCACGCUGAACAUUAAAAUCAUAGCAAACACCUAAACAAAGCCAUUAAAAAUACAUGUUAAAACAAGAAGAAAACAAACAGUAAAUGUUAAAGUUCUGAAGAGAGAAGAGGGUGAAAAGACCUGAUUUUUAGAUUAAGUGUAGCUUGUAAGUGUAGACAUGUUUGAAGGAAUAACAUAGGACGUGAAUUAAUAGAUUGAUAUGUUUGAUAAAUAAAUGAUUACACUUUGAAUCCCUUUAAAAUUUUACUAUUUGUUUAUGUAUACAUGGAAUUGUGCCUGUGGAUAUGCACACACAUGUGUGAAGAUGCCUGCAGAAACAAGAGAAUGGUGGUGUGCACUCUUGAUCUGGAGUUAUAAGUAUUUGGAGCCACACAAUUUAGAUGCAGGAAACUGCAGGCACAUCAAGUGCUUGUCAGCACUGUAUCAUCUCUCCAGCUAAGCUACUGCAGUUCGAACCGUGCUGAUAAAGUUGAAAUAUAAAUAAAACAUAAAGAAUCUUUUGUGGAUCCACAUAGUAGCUUAUAGCUGUCUUUUUAACAGUUCCAGGGGAUCCAAGGCAUCUCCUCUGUUCUCUGUGGCACCAGAGACACAAGUGAUAAUUAUGUAUAUGCAGAUGAAACAAUCAUAUAUAUAAAAUAAAAAUAAAUCUUUGAAAAAAUCAUUUGUGUAGAUAAAAUAAACUUAGGUUUAAUAAAUUUAUGUGAUGUUACAUGUGUUGGGAAAACACUAAGAAUCAAUUCAAGUUAUAAAGUUCAUAAAUUUAUAAUUCAUAAAAGGAAAACAAGAGGAAAUACUCAUUUGCACAAUCUCUUUAGUAAUCAAAGAAAUGAAACAAUAAUAUUAAUCCUUUGUUACUAGUAAUUCUAGAAAAUCCUGUUUUAAAAUUUAUAUCAAAUAUGACUCAUGUUGUAAAAUAUUUGAAAAAGAUAGUAAUUCCAAAGGAAUUCUAAAUGAGGACACAAUUUCUGGAGAGCAAGUUGGCAGUAUACCUCAAGUGCUAUAAAAUAUUCAUCUCAUUUGAUUUAUGAAUUUCUCUUCUAGAAAUGUACCCGUGGAAAUGCAAUUUGCUCACAAAUGUAAUCUGAGAGAAGCAAUUUUCAUGAAAAGAUUAUCAUUGCAAAGUCCUUGGAUGAAUUGCAGCUCCAUAUAUUCUGAGGAUGAAGUCAAAAGAACGAUAGAUUGGAAGCACAGUCAAGAUGAGUGUUGUGAUGCAUGUAUGAGUCAUUCCAUAGUCUCUGAUUGGAGGCAGAGUGGAGAGUUCCAAGUAUUUAAACACAAAAAGGAAUAGUUGACAUUACACAGAUUAAGGAUGAACGAUGAGAAGAGUGGGUGGUAAAAGAGAGGAACCAGCAAACUGAUGAAUCAGAAGAAAAACUGCUAGUAAAAUGUACAUCUACCCAGCAGCCUAUUGAAACAGAUGCAGAAACCUACAGCCAAACAUUAGACAGAGCUUGGGAAGUCUUAUGGAAGAGUUGGGGAAGUGUUGAGGGACCUAAAGGGGAUAGGGACUCCACAACAAGACCAUCAGAGUCAACCAACCUAGACUUUGGAAGCUCCCAGAGAUUGAAUUACUAAACAAGAGUAAGCAUGGACUGGACGUAGGCCUCAGCCCUGCACCUAUGUAGCAGAUGUGCAGGCUAGAAGAGUUUAUUGUGCUGUUGACAAUAUCCUCACAUGAAAGAGAUGAAGGUUCACUCUUCAGAAAGUAUCUGUGCUGGUGUCGUUUCUACACUCAACUUUUCUUUUGCAAUAAAAAUAUCAGAAUUAUCCUUUCGGUGGCCUUGCAAUACAUAGUGGUGACAUAAUUUGGAAUCUGAAUGGCUUCUAGUAGGACCACAAUCUCAAGGAUGUAUUUUCUUGGAGUAUUAUGGGCAAUGAAGAGAAGUUCUCUUCCUCUCUAGCUGGAUGCAUGAGUAUGGAUUACAUGGAAAGCAGAGUUAGAAUCUGUGUAAAACUACACUGAGGCUUGUUCCUGCCUCCCUCUGGAUACCCCAAGGGAGAAGAAUGAGUUCUGCUUUUGGACCGGCAUGGAAUUAUUUGGAAGAACCUCAUAUUCUGUGACCUCUGUUAUGCUCCCUUAUAUUCCCUGAAAAAUCUUUGUUCUGUCACCAUUAAAUCACAUCCAACUCUGAACCAGGGGGCUCAUGUGGGAAAAUGAGCAAUUCUGUAAAGCUGGGGCAGGACUUCAGGUGAAAACGGAUUGCCGAGGAAUGCUGUAGAGAGGCCAUGGGCCUCAAAUCUGGCAAUUUUUACCUUGGUGAGGUUUUAUUUUCUGCCAUAUGUUGGUUCUACUUUCUAAGAUCGAAUGGAAAGACCAGGAGUUAAGUUUCAUGGAACUAGUAAAUCAUAUAGUCCAUUGUACUCUGUCCAAAGAUUAACAACAUUCCUGUGGGUACUUCACCAAUCACAAUAGUACGUCUGCUUGUACCUGAGGCAAGGAGGCCAUUCUCUCCUAAAAGCUGUAAUAAUUUGUAGAAAUACAUGACUUGCCAUUUGAGAGGUCCCAAAGUUUAGGUUAAAACUCAAUAGUGCUAUUCAUUUUUGCUCAUAUACAUACAGAGGAAAGGAUUUAGUAAGACAGGGAGAGCUAAGUCUGGGACAGAAGUUUAAGAGGUCUGAGUCUAGUAAUUACAAGAGCCUAAUGGAAUAGAUUUUACUCUGCAGUUUUAGGCCUCACAAAGAAGGUUAGCCAAAAAUUUCGCUUCAACAUCUGAAUUCUGAAAAAGUCAGUCCCUGCUGUUUUGCAGGUCAUUGCUGAUGGCGGGGGUGGGGUGGGGGUGGGGGUGGAGGAGUGGGGUGGGGGGGAUUAGAUGCCCAUGAUGUUGGAAAGGCUUCUUUGGAUGAUGCUGACUUCCUGUCAUGAGGAAGUUGAGAACAUUCUUGCUCUACUGUGUCUCUGUUUUGCAAAUUAGACACGACCCUAAGGAUGCCUGUAGGCACUGUAGUCUUGGAUACUCCUUGCUAGCCACCAAAAUGAUACUGAGUCCUUUUGUAUAAGGCUUGGUUAAUUCCUUGACACUGCACUGAAUGGUCAGUAGAUGGAGCUCUAGGAUUUCCUGAGACUGAAAGGAGCUGUCAAACACCACUGCUUUUAAUUGUAUGUGCCUCUUACCUGUUUAUCCCACCAGUUUGCCCUUUCUAGCUGAUGAGAUCUCCUCCCGAUUAUUAAAGGCCUUGAAAAUUCUGUUCAAUAAAUAAAUAAGCAAGUAUGAGGUUUCUUAAUAAGGGCUGUCAACUGAAACUGAGGCUACACCUUCGCCAGUGGCCUUUCCUAGUCUCUCACAGUGCCAAGCCUCAGCUGCUCUCCAUGACCUCUUUAUACCUUCAAAACCAGUACCACCUGGGUGACUCCUACAUAUUAUCAAGUCCAGCUGCAGCAGGAGGUAUAAUCUUGGCUACUUCUGGAACACAGAUUCUUUGUGCGCUUAGAAAAUCUAUCCCAGAAGAUUUCACUUCUGAGAUGCUAGUCUCUUUUUAAUCACUCCUAAUUUCUUAGCUACAGCUAACUAGCAUCAAUUGUCCCAUUAGUCCCUUCUAUUCUUGACUCUAAGGCUAGAGCCAUAUGGCUAAAGCUGCCAAGUUCUGCUGCUUGCUGGGCUGGAAUAUGGCCCUUAUUACCAGCUUUCUGUUUUCCAACUACUUCACUACCUAAGCUUGGCUGUCUUGGAACUUGCUCAGUAGAUUGACCUUAAACUCAGAAAUGUGCAGGGUUCUUUUUCCUGCAUGCUGGGUUUAAAGGUGUGUAUCACCACACUUAGAUUUAAGCUUAUCUUUUCCUAGAACUCUCUCUGGCCCAGGCUGGCCUUAAAUUCAGAGAUCUUUGUCUCCUGGGAUUAAAGGUGUAUACCACCGUGUACUAAAGCUUUCCAUGGAUGCUAUUCCUCAAGCUGUGCUAAAGCUUCUCGUGACCACUAUUCUUCAAGAUCCAGAUCUAAAGCUGGUAUCUUCCAGCCUCAAGGCCUGCACCGUAAGUAAGUGUGUCCUCCAUUUCUGAAUUGUAGUUCAUUCCAGACUAAACAUCUAAACUAUCCCUUGUUCAACUGCAAACACAAACAAGAAUCUUGUGGGUGUGAUCUUAUCCUGAGACCACCACUCCCUUAAUUUGUUUAUCUCCUUGAAUAUAGGAUUCAGCUUCAUUUUACUUCCUGGUGCCCUUUUAUUCCUUGAAUAAUAAUUUUUUCUUUUUUUUUCCUUUUUAAGUUUGCUAUGCAUAAUCAGAAUGUCCUUCCUGAGAGUAAACUAGAGGACAAAGUCUAUGCUGGGUUCCUUUGUCAAUGGAAUUAAUUGAAAUGUCUUUACCUUAGCCUCAGGUAAAGAGACUCUUUAGAUAAUGGCAAAAAAGUCACAUUCUUGAAUAAAGAUCACAAAAAAUGGUGUCUAGUCCACUGUGGUGGUUUGAAUAUACUUGGCACAGAGAUUAACACAACUAAGAGCUAUGGCCUUGUUGGAGGAAUUAUGUCACUUUGGGCGUGGGCUUUGAGACCCUUUUCCUAGCCUCCUGAAUGACAGUCUCCUGUUUGCUUUGGAAGGAGAUGUAGUUAGAACUCUCAGUUCCUCCCUUGCCAUGACUGUCUGGAUGCUGCCAUGCUUCCUGCCAUGAUAACUGACUGAACCUCAGAACCAGUAAGCUCUAAUUAAAUGUCGUUUGUAAGAGUUUCUUUGGUCAUGGUGUCUCUUCACAGCAAUAAAACCCCAUUUAAGACAGUCACAUAAUUAAAUUCUUCUCCUAAAUCUCCAGAGCCAGGCUUCUACAGUUCAAAUGACACUCAGCACCCCUGCUUUCCAUAAUUCUUCUUGGGAGGGCCCAGUAAGCUGCACUUAAAACAUGCCACUGCUUUCCAAACCCACACUCCUCCAAACAAAAACAAGGUCAGUCCUAUCACAGCAAUACCCCAACCCCUGGUACCAACUUCUGUCUUAGUUUGGGGUUCCAGUAUUAGGAAGAGACCCCAUGACGAAGUCGACUCACAUAAAGCACAUUUAAUUGAGUCUGGCUUACAAAUUCAGAGGUUCAGUUCAUUAUCGUCAAGGUGGAAAACAUGACCUUGUCUAGGCAGGCAUGGAAAGGGAGGAGCUGAGAGUUCUACAUUUGGUUGGAGGGUCUCUCUGAAAAGACUACUGUCUUCCAGGCAUCUAGGAGGAUAGUUUCAAAGCCCACAUUUCCUCUAACAAGGUCACGGCCACUGCAGCAAGACCCUAUCUCCUAAUAGUGCCACACCCUGGCCAAGCAUAUGCAGUCCACCACAAGAAUGAACUUUCUACUCUACCAUAUUUACUGAAUAGCUAUAGAUAAAUGAGCGUCUCCCUAUUUGGAGUAUCAUUAUCUAUUACCUUGUUUCAUUAACAGAGUUCAGAUGGGAAGAGCAGCCUCCUAAUGAACUUCUUUCAUAUCUACAUCUGUUUAAUUUGCUAUGAUCACUACAUGCAUCAAAUUAGGUUACAUUAGUAGGAGGGUAUAUAGUUAGUAGCAGACUCAGCACUCAUUGGGGAUGUAUGAAUUACUUGUUACCCUUAACCGAUAAAGUAAAUAACAGAAACUUCAAGGAUCUAAUUGUUAUUGGCCCCUGGAGGGCCUAAUAACCUCUAUAACUGAAAGAAACCAGCAAAUGGAUUUUAGCAGAGAGAUUAGUUCAGCCUGAACAGAGGAAAAUGGGGUAAAUACUGUCAUUCUCAAAAAUACAGUGCUCCUCAUUUUCCAAAAAGGAAUAAUCUUAAGAGUUUUAAGAGCUGUGAAUGUAAGAUUUCUGAGCUUGGCAGAGAAUUGUCUGUAGACAAUUGUUUUUGUCCUUUUUGACUGGAACAUUUUAUAGGGCAAAGACAUGUUUUAUCUUUCCACUGAAAAUAAUCUUUGGACCACUCCUGUGCCCUGCUUAGAGACUAAUUUUGAUAAAGAAAAACAGUGAUAGGUAAUGGAAGAGAAUUAAUGUAUUUGGAUAUGGGAAAAUAGUUCAGUUCGGUGGGUAAAUGCCACACAAGCAUUAGGACCUGAGUUUGAACCCCUCACACUCAUAUAUAUAUAUUUGACAUAGCAGCAAACAUAUGAAAUUUCACUACUGCAGGAUAGACAGGCAGAUCCUUUGUGUGCUUGUCAUGCUAGCUGACUGGAUAACGACAGGCUUGGUGAGAGAUCCAGUUUCUUAAAAAUAAGUUGGAAAAUUGAUGGAGCUCAGCCUCUGGGGCCCACACAUACUUGCACAGAUAAAUAUGCCUAUACACUCAUGAAGACAACACACAUACAUGUGUGUACACACAAACAUACAAAUGCACACACACAAUAAGAAAUUAAAAGAAAUAUCACAAUUUCACUUUCUUAAAUUUGAAAUACUACAUGAGAAGACUAGAUGAAAAAGACAGAUGAUGAUAUCAUAGUUAGCCCUGCCCGUGAGAGAGAGAACCAACCGCCUGGUCAGGUGGGCAUUCCUGAGGCUGCAGAGCGGAAGAGACCACCAACACUGCCCACCCCUGCCCACAUCCCUGGCCCAAGGGGAAAAUGUAUAAGGCCUCUGGGCUCCCGUGGGGGAGGGCCCAGGAGCGGCAGGACCCCUGCCUGAGACACCACAGGAACCUGAAGGAAACAUACCGGAUAAACAGUUCUCUGCACCCAAAUCCCGUGAGAGGGAGAGCUAAACCUUCAGAGAGGUAGACAAGCCUGGGAAACCAGAAGAGACUGCUCUCUGCACAUACAUCUCGGACGCCAGAGGAAAACACUAAAGGCCAUCUGGAACCCUGGUGCACUGAAGCUCCCGGAAGGGGCGGCACAUAUCUUCCUGGUUGCUGCCGCUGCAGAGAGCCCGUGGGCAGCACCCCACGAGGGAACUUGAGCCUUGGGACCACAGGUAAGACCAACUUUUCUGCUGCAAGAAAGCUGUCUGGUGAACUCAAGACACAGGCCCACAGGAACAGCUGAAGACCUGUAGAGAGGAAAAACUACACACCCGAAAGCAGAACACUCUGUCCCCAUAACUGACUGAAAGAGAGGAAAACAGGUCUACAGCACUCCUGACACACAAGCUUAUAGGACAGUCUAGCCACUAUCAGAAAUAGCAGAACAAAGUAACACUAGAGAUAAUCUGAUGGCGAGAGGCAAGCGCAGGAACCCAAGUAACAGAAACCAAGACUACAUGGCAUCAUUGGAGCCCAAUUCUCCCACCAAAACAAACAUGGAAUAUCCAAACACACCAGAAAAGCAAGAUCUAGUUUCAAAAUCAUAUUUGAUCAUGAUGCUGGAGGACUUCAAGAAAGACGUGAAGAACUCCCUUAGGGAAACACAGGAAAACAUUAAUAAACAAGUAGAAGCCUACAGAGAGGAAUCGCAAAAAUCCCUGAAAGAAUCGCAGAAAUCCCUGAAAGAAUUCCAGGAAAACACAAUCAAACAGUUGAAGGAAUUAAAAAUGGAAAUAGAAGCAAUCAAGAAAGAAAACAUGGAAACAACCCUGGAUAUAGAAAACCAAAAGAAGAGACAAGGAGCUGUAGAUACAAGCUUCACCAACAGAAUACAAGAGAUGGAAGAGAGAAUCUCAGGAGCAGAAGAUUCCAUAGAAAUCAUUGACUCAACUAUCAAAGAUAAAGUAAAGCGGAAAAAGCUACUGGUCCAAAACAUACAGGAAAUCCAGGACUCAAUGAGAAGAUCAAACCUAAGGAUAAUAGGUAUAGAAGAGAAUGAAGACUCCCAGCUCAAAGGACCAGUAAAUAUCUUCAACAAAAUCAUGGAAGAAAACUUCGCUAACCUAAAAUAAGAGAUACCCAUAGACAUACAAGAAGCCUACAGAACUCCAAAUAGAUUGGACUAGAAAAGAAACACCACCCGUCACAUAAUUGUCAAAACACCAAACACACAAAAUAAAGAAAGAAUAUUAAAAGCAGUAAGGGAAAAAGGUCAAGUAACAUAUAAAGGCAGACCUAUCAGAAUCACACCAGACUUCUCGCCAGAAACUAUGAAGGCCAGAAGAUCCUGGACUGAUGUCAUACAGACCCUAAGAGAACACAAAUGCCAGCCCAGGUUACUGUAUCCUGCAAAACUCUCAAUUAACAUAGAUGGAGAAACCAAGAUAUUCCAUGACAAAACCAAAUUUACACAAUAUCUUUCUACAAAUCCAGCACUACAAAGGAUAAUAAAUGGUAAAGCCCAACAUAAGGAGGCAAGCUAUACCCUAGAAGAAGCAAGAAACUAAUCGUCUUGGCAACAAAACAAAGAGAAUGAAAACACACAAACAUGACUUCACAUCCAAAUAUGAAUAUAAUGGGAAGCAAUAAUCACUAUUCCUUAAUAUCUCUCAACAUCAAUGGCCUCAACUCCCCAAUAAAAAGAAAUAGAUUAACAAACUGGAUACGCAACGAGGACCCUGCAUUCUGCUGCCUACAGGAAACACACCUCAGACACAAAGACAGACACUACCUCAGAGUGAAAGGCUGGAAAACAACUUUCCAAGCAAAUGGUCAGAAGAGGCAAGCUGGAGUAGCCAUUCUAAUAUCAAAUAAAAUCAAUUUCCAACUAAAAGUCAUCAAAAAAGAUAAGGAAGGACACUUCAUAUUCAUCAAAGGAAAAAUCCACCAAGAUGAACUCUCAAUCCUAAAUAUCUAUGCCCCAAAUACAAGGGCACCUACAUACGUAAAAGAAACCUUACUAAAGCUCAAAACACACAUUGCACCUCACACAAUACUAGUGGGAGAUUUCAACACCCCACUCUCAUCAAUGGACAGAUCAUGGAAACAGAAAUUAAACAGUGAUGUCGACAGACUAAGAGAAGUCAUGAGCCAAAUGGACUUAACGGAUAUUUAUAGAACAUUCUAUCCUAAAGCAAAAGGAUAUACCUUCUUCU